GUGGCCGUAGCUUAAUGGCAAGGCGCCUGAAUGUGAAUCAGGUAAUGGCGGUUCGAUUCCGCCCGGCCACCCCA
rnacentral:tRNA from 1 species